rnacentral:tRNA from 1 species
GCCUCCUUAGCUCAGUCCGGCCAGAGCAACGCACUUGUAAUGCGUAGGUCGUCGGUUCGAAUCCGACAGGGGGCUCCU